AACCAUAGAAACCUGCGGAGUACCUGCGGAAGGAUCAUUAUAGAAAACACAUCUAUGCCCUAGGAGGAGGAGAGGGAAAGGCCAUUUGAUUGGGCUUUGCCUCUUCUUUUCCUGGGCAAACAACCAACACACAUGACUAGGGAAUAUGGAGUGGAGUGGAGUGAAGUGUGAGGGGGAGAGGAAUGGCUUGGCUUGUGAAUCUUCCCGCGUAUCCAUCACACACGCCACGCACAGAAACAA
rnacentral:misc_RNA from 1 species